GCAGUCAAAUGUGCAUAGUAUAUUAUCUAUGUCUAGUGAUAAAGUCCAUUUGCGUUCUGCACAUAGACUAUAUUGCUCACAUACGAUCUGCAGCCUAAGAGCAACAUGAGAUCAUAGUACUGGUCUAAUGAUGUUGAAAGACAAGUCUACCAUUGUCCAGCCUCCAAAUUCUCAAACAUAA